rnacentral:rRNA from 1 species
CAAUAGCGUAUAUUAAAGUUGUUGCAGUUAAAAAGCUCGUAGUUGGAUUUCUGGUUGAAGCGACCGGUCGGGCGUUGAUUCGUCUGCACUGGAGUCGGUUUUGGCCAUCCUCUAGGAAAGUGCGUCUGGUAUUAAGUUAUCGGGCGUAUGAUCCUGGUCUUUUACUGUGAAAAAAUUAGAGUGUUUAAAGCAGGCCUUCGCCUUGAAUACAUUAGCAUGGAGUAAUAAGAUAGGACUUUGGUCUAUUUUGUUGGUUUGCAGACCGAAGUAAUGAUUAAUAGGGAUAGUUGGGGGUAUUUAUAUUCCGAUGUCAGAGGUGAAAUUCUUAGAUUUUCGGAAGAUAAACUUAUGCGAAAGCAUUUACCAAGGAUGUUUNCAUUA